rnacentral:rRNA from 1 species
GAUGAACGCUGGCGGCGUGCUUAACACAUGCAAGUCGAACGAAGCACUUUAUUUGAUUUCCUUCGGGACUGAUUAUUUUGUGACUGAGUGGCGGACGGGUGAGUAACGCGUGGGUAACCUGCCUUGUACAGGGGGAUAACAGUUGGAAACGGCUGCUAAUACCGCAUAAGCGCACAGCAUCGCAUGAUGCAGUGUGAAAAACUCCGGUGGUAUAAGAUGGACCCGCGUUGGAUUAGCUAGUUGGUGAGGUAACGGCCCACCAAGGCGACGAUCCAUAGCCGACCUGAGAGGGUGACCGGCCACAUUGGGACUGAGACACGGCCCAAACUCCUACGGGAGGCAGCAGUGGGGAAUAUUGCACAAUGGGCGAAAGCCUGAUGCAGCGACGCCGCGUGAGCGAAGAAGUAUUUCGGUAUGUAAAGCUCUAUCAGCAGGGAAGAUAAUGACGGUACCUGACCAAGAAGCACCGGCUAAAUACGUG